GAUGAACGCUAGCUACAGGCUUAACACAUGCAAGUCGCGGGGCAGCAUGGGGGUUGCUUGCACUCCCCGAUGGCGACCGGCGCACGGGUGAGUAACGCGUAUCCAACCUGCCCUUCACCACGGGAUAACCCGGCGAAAGUCGGACUAAUACCGUAUGUUGUCCAUUGACGGCAUCCGAUUUGGACGAAAGGUUUGGCGGUGAAGGAUGGGGAUGCGUCCGAUUAGCUGGACGGCGGGGUGACGGCCCACCGCGGCGACGAUCGGUGGGGGUUCUGAGAGGAAGGUCCCCCACACUGGAACUGAGACACGGUCCAGACUCCUACGGGAGGCAGCAGUGAGGAAUAUUGGUCAAUGGGCGUAAGCCUGAACCAGCCAAGUAGCGUGCAGGAUGACGGCCCUAUGGGUUGUAAACUGCUUUUAUGCGGGGAUAAAGUGGCCCACGUGUGGGUUUUUGCAGGUACCGCAUGAAUAAGGACCGGCUAAUUCCGUG
rnacentral:rRNA from 1 species